rnacentral:lncRNA from 1 species
AGCAGCCCCGACCCUGGGAGGGAGAGGAGCAUCCUGCCUCCCUUUGCCAGACAACGAGGCCACUCAGCCCCCGGGGAAUGGUCCUUGCGCCAUGCCGACAGAAGAAGAAUAUCAACAGGAAACGCAGACUCUCAUCCAGCACUCCUGCUUAAGUGGGCUGGAAAACCCUCACGUGGAAAUUCAGGGUUGUGUUUCUGUUGGCUUCGAGACCACGUGUGCUUUCCAGCUCAUCUGGGUUGUGUCUCUCACCUGAAAGCCCAUCCACUCCUGAGCGGCUUCCACAGCUAUCACAAGCGAGUUCGGGUUCGGCUUGGAAAAGGGUAAGAAGUGCAAGUACUCAAACAGCAGUGAGAUGAAAGCAUGUGGCAGGUUUAUUUAGGCUGGAUCAUAUGGGUAAUAGGAUGAAAUAAGUACAGAUUUUUUAUUUUUUUUUUCUAUGAGAAUUUGUGAACUGCACUUACUUCUGCUCCAAAAUGAGCUAAGAUAUCAAAAUACAUAAUGCUUUUGCAAAAGAACAAUGUAAUUCUCAUCCUGAUUCUAUCUCCCACUCCCUACACCCCAGCCCUCAAAUUUUGGAUCAGAUCAAGUGAAAUAUUUUGUUCCCAGUGCAAUUUUUUACCAUUUCAAAGCCUCUUUUAAACCUAAAUGGUCUAGAACUUAAAAAUGAAAAGUCAUUUUCAAUCAUAAAGCAAAUGUUUUUGUUUAGAAAAUGUCAGAGCUGGAUGUUGCCAGGUUCCACAACUUUUUUUGUGUUCUUUUUUUUCUCCGCUCUCCAAAAAUGCUUCAGGGGGAAAGAG